rnacentral:rRNA from 1 species
GAUGAACGCUAGCGGCAGGCUUAACACAUGCAAGUCGAGGGGUAUAGUUCUUCGGAACUAGAGACCGGCGCACGGGUGCGUAACGCGUAUGCAAUCUACCUUUUGCAGAGGGAUAGCCCCAGAGAAAUUUGGAUUAAUACCUCAUAGUAUAGCAGUUUCGCAUGAAACCACUAUUAAAGUCACAACGGCAAAAGAUGAGCAUGCGUCCCAUUAGCUAGUUGGUAAGGUAACGGCUUACCAAGGCUACGAUGGGUAGGGGUCCUGAGAGGGAGAUCCCCCACACUGGUACUGAGACACGGACCAGACUCCUACGGGAGGCAGCAGUGAGGAAUAUUGGACAAUGGGCGCAAGCCUGAUCCAGCCAUGCCGCGUGCAGGAUGACGGUCCUAUGGAUUGUAAACUGCUUUUAUACAGGAAGAAACACUCCGACGUGUCGGAGCUUGACGGUACNGUAAGAAUAAGGAUCGGCUAACUCCGUGCCAGCAGCCG